AUUGAACGCUGGCGGCAGGCCUAACACAUGCAAGUCGAACGAGUGGCGGACGGGUGAGUAAUGUCUGGGAAACUGCCUGAUGGAGGGGGAUAACUACUGGAAACGGUAGCUAAUACCGCAUACCAUCGGAUGUGCCCAGAUGGGAUUAGCUAGUAGGUGGGGUAAAGGCUCACCUAGGCGACGAUCCCUAGCUGGUCUGAGAGGAUGACCAGCAACAAGGGGAUGGAGACACGGUCCGGCCUCCUACGGGAGGCAGCGGUGGGGAAUAUGGCACAAUGGGCGCAAGCCUGAUGCAGCCAUGCCGCGUGUAUGUAGAAGGCCGUCGGGUUGUAAAGUACUUUCAGCGGGGAGGCGUUACCCGCAGAAGAAGCACCGGCUAACUCCGGGCCAGCAGCCGCGGUAAUAC
rnacentral:rRNA from 1 species